GUGCUCAUCAGUUUGAUAUUUAAUUUUAAGCUUCUUCUAUCCCAAAGGUCAAGCGCUCAUCAAAUAGAUUACUGACCUUCCUCUAUCACAGAAGUCAAAUUAGUAUUUGUUUCUGGGUUACCUCUAUCUCAGAGAUAGCACUCUUAUUAAAGUGAUAUUUGCUGCUGAGCAUCUUGUCAUGGAGGUAACACUCAUUAAAUUGGUACAGUUAUUAAGCUUUGUCACAACAUUCACAUUCUCACCAAUACUGGUACGUGGUAACAAAGCUUCCACUAAUUACGGAGCAUACAUGCUUAUCAAAUUUAAACAGAUGAGCCUCUCCUGUGACAGAUCACACUCUUGCUGUAGCGUCAGGCACCUUUUUCAUUAGCUAACAUACAGUCUUCGGCUUUUUCUUGCCACCUUAACUUACACACCUCUGAUUGUAUGGUUGCUUUUUCUCAAAGUGGUUUAUGUUUCACUUUACCCCAGAUAUUCUAGUUUUAUACCUUCAAACACAACAUUCUAAAAUACCAAUGUUCUAAAGUCCAUGUGUUGUUGAAAAUCAGCAGAUCAGGCCUGAU